AUUGAACGCUGGCGGCAGGCCUAACACAUGCAAGUCUAACGAGUGGCGGACGGGUGAGUAAUGUCUGGGAAACUGCCUGAUGGAGGGGGAUAACUCCUGGAAACGGUAGCUAAUACCGCAUACCAUCAGCUGUGCCCAGAUGGGAUUAGCUAGUAGGUGGGGUAAAGGCUCACCCAGCCGACGAUCUCUAGCUGGUCUGAGAGGAUGACCGGCCACACGGGGACUGAGACACGGCACAGACUCCUACGGGAGGCAGCAGUGGGGAAUAUUGCGCAAUGGGGGCAACCCUGACGCAGCCAUGCCGAGUGAAUGAAGAAGGCCUUCGGGUUGUAAAGUUCUUGCGGUAGCGAGGCGUUAACUACAGAAGAAGCACCGGCUAACUCCGUGCCAGCAGCCGCGGUAAUUC
rnacentral:rRNA from 1 species